rnacentral:lncRNA from 1 species
AUGCUCCUUCCUCAGUUUCCCCUGCCUACUGCUUCCUUCCUCUCUAUGCUUCCUAGGUUUUCUUCUAGACCGCGGUUCUCGGCACAACAGGGUGGGAGGACGAGUCUGCGGGUGAGAAGGGACAGGCGGGCAGUGGCUAUUCAAGUCUCCUCAGGUGCCACCGCCUCCAGGCACAAGGCCAGCUCCUCAUCCCUGCGCCCCUCGGCUCCCUGCGUGUUCCUGGCAAGCAGUGGCAUCCCGAGGCCGCGCUAUAAGAGGAUGAUCCCUUUGAGGACAUGUGUGAAGUCAAAAACCCCCCACCUCUGCCCAGAGAGCAGUGUCAGGCCCUCGCUCACCUUGGCCAGGCCUUCUGGCUUCCCGCCCCCCCAGGCCCUGGGGCUCCACCAGCCUCCCCCCAGGACAGGGAAAGAAGCGGGAAGCCAGAAGGCCUGGCCAAGACCAAGUCCGGGCAGGCCUGGAGCCAGCGGCCCUCACGUCUGCAGCCUUCUGGAGGCUGGGCCUGGGCACCCGCUAGGCCUCCCUCCCCUCACGCUUCCUGGGUACCUCCUGGGCCCCCAACACCCGCAGGGACACAGACUGAGCCGUGGAAGCCGUGUGGGCUGCCGCUGUGGUGGGGGCGCUGCGAUUCCCGGGGUGGGGGCUGGCCGGGGCCUGCAGGCUGGAGCGGGGCUGUCCAGUCCCUCCGCUGGCUGGCCCUGCAGAAGCACGGGGGGCUGGCCUUGGAACCCAGGGAAGAAGCCAGGCCCCCUGCAGCCCUCCCAGCCGGGAGACCCUGAGCAUGUUGCCAUGCACCUGAGUCCCUACCCGAGGCGACAGCUUCCCUCCAGGGCUGUCGUGUCGUGGGGCUGGAGUCCCGCUCACAGGACCCAGUGGGCCUGUGAGUCUCCCGGCGCCCACCUGCUCCAGGUGCGGUGCGCUCCUCGCCUCUGCCCACCCACCGCCCAGACAGGCGGCCCCCCUCGAGCUGCCUCCCACCUCUACCGUUUCCUAGACAGGUUCAAUCUAAGGGUCGGCGCGGCCGGGGUGGGGGGUGGCUCAUGA